rnacentral:rRNA from 1 species
UCAAGGAAUUGACGGGGCCGCACAAGCGGAGGAGCAUGUGGUUUAAUUCGAUGAUACGCGAGGAACCUUACCUGGGCUCGAACGUAAGAUGACUGUAGGUGAAAGCUUACAUCUCUUCGGAGCAUUUUACGAGGUGCUGCAUGGUUGUCGUCAGCUCGUGCCGUGAGGUGUCGGGUUAAGUCCCAUAACGAGCGCAACCCCUACCUUUAGUUGCCAUCAGGUUAAGCUGGGGACUCUAAAGGAACUGCCUACGCAAGUAGUGAGGAAGGCGGGGAUGACGUCAAAUCAGCACGGCCCUUACGUCCAGGGCUACACACGUGCUACAAUGGCCGAUACAGAGGGCAGCUACCUGGUGACAGGAUGCAAAUCUCCAAAGUCGGUCUCAGUUCGGAUCGGAGUCUGCAACCCGACUCCGUGAAGUUGGAUUCGCUAGUAAUCGCGCAUCAGCCAUGGCGCGGUGAAUACGUUCCCGGGCCUU